rnacentral:SRP_RNA from 1 species
GCCGGGCGUGGUGGCGGGCGCCUGUAAUCCCAGCUACUUGGGAGGCUGAGGCAGAGAAUUGCUUGAACCCGGGAGGUGGAGGUUGCAGUGAGCCGAGUUCGUACCACUGCACUCCAGCCUGGGUGACAGAGCAAGACUCUGUCUCAA